GUUCCGAUCUAAUAUAUAAUAAUGUGCAAUAAAAUCAUCAUGCCAUUGUUUGGAAAAAUAAAAACUGAAUAAUGGCCGUACUUCAGCAAGGUGGUUAAUGUGGUUAUAAAAGCGAUAUUGAUCAUUGUUAAAGUCAUCCGAACAUGUUAUGAAUAGGAGGACAUUAGAUGUGGAAUAUUGAAUUACAAAAAAAAUGCUAUAGAACAUUUUUAUCAUUGGAAUAUGCAUAGAAAAAAACAGAUUGUAUUACUAUAAAUCCUAUAAUAGUGUUUUAAAUCAACACUUAAAGGGAGAAAAAUACUUUUCAUCAAGAUCGAUUUCGGUUUUGAGCUAGCAUACUACUAUAAAUCAAACAGGAUGUCUACUUUAUAAGACAAUCUCACUGCUACUUGGUUUUGUUAUAACCUUUUUCCGCGAUUAUGAUAUCGCUGAUUACCCUUUGUCACCGAAUGUUUACUUGUAAAGGGCAACACGAUUGGUGCAAGUUACUAUAGUGAAGCAGGAAAUGUUGGCUCUUCCGGGGCACUUGAAAUUGUAAAUGUAUAUUUGUUCCGCCCAACAAAAACUCCUCUGGAAAGCUAUAAAAAAAACCAAUAUCCUUAUUGAAAUAGGGAAAUCUGGUGUAAACUAAGAUCGCUUAUAAAACAAAUAAACGUUCUUUUGGUAAUUAUAUUGACCAUGACUUGUAACCCUUUUUCUUCUUUCUUUUGAACAAACAAUUGUAACAUUUCUU
rnacentral:lncRNA from 1 species